GGAUAGGUCAGUCGGUAGAGCAUGAGAAUCUUAAUCUCAGGGUUGUGGGUUCAAGCCCCACGUUGUGCA